AUUGAACGCUGGCGGCAGGCCUAACACAUGCAAGUCGAACGAGUGGCGGACGGGUGAGUAAUGUCUGGGAAACUGCCUGAUGGAGGGGGAUAACUACUGGAAACGGUCGCUAAUACCGCAUACCAUCGGAUGUGCCCAGAUGGGAUUAGCCAGUAGGGGGGGUAACGGCUCACCUAGGCGACGAUCCCUAGAUGGUCUGUGAGGAUGACCUGCCACACGGGAAAUGAGACACGGUGCAGACGCCUACGGGAGGCAGCAGUGGGGAAUAUUGCACAAUGGGCGCAAGCCUGAUGCAGCCAUGCCGCGUGUAUGAAGAAGGCCGUCGGGUUGUAAAGUAACUUUAGCGGGGAGGCGUUACCCGCAGAAGAAGCACCGGGUAACUCCGUGCCAGCAGCCGCGGUAAUUC
rnacentral:rRNA from 1 species